rnacentral:rRNA from 2 species
UACAGAGGUCCCAAGCGUUGUUCGGAUUCAUUGGGCGUAAAGGGUGUGUAGGUGGCGCCGUAAGUCGGGUGUGAAAUCUCGGGGCUUAACUCCGAAACUGCAUUCGAUACUGCGGUGCUCGAGGACUGGAGAGGAGACUGGAAUUCAUGGUGUAGCAGUGAAAUGCGUAGAGAUCAUGAGGAAGACCAGUGGCGAAGGCGGGUCUCUGGACAGUUCCUGACACUGAGACACGAAGGCCAGGGGAGCAAACGGG